UACGUAGGGCGCAAGCGUUAUCCGGAAUUAUUGGGCGUAAAGAGCUCGUAGGCGGUUUGUCGCGUCUGCCGUGAAAGUCCGGGGCUCAACUCCGGAUCUGCGGUGGGUACGGGCAGACUAGAGUGAUGUAGGGGAGACUGGAAUUCCUGGUGUAGCGGUGAAAUGCGCAGAUAUCAGGAGGAACACCGGUGGCGAAGGCGGGUUUCUGGGCCUUACCUGACGCUGAGGAGCGAAAGCAUGGGGAGCGAACAGG
rnacentral:rRNA from 1 species